CGUUAAUGGCGGAAUACAGAUUUUUCUAUCAGAUUAGAGGAAUCCGGAGACGAACUAUGGCGAUUCACCGAGCUGAUAAACCUUCUGAACAUGCAUUUGGUAUCUCAGCAGGAUUUUCCGCGAGUAAGUAACUUUUUGGAGCCUUGUGCACAGGAAGAAGACUAUAAAAAAUGGCAGACCAGAGACCCCUUUUUCCUGCCUAGCUAAUGGCCAUCCACUAAGCAUGAUUAAGUAGGUCGGAAAAUGACUUGAAGAGGAGUGUGGAUCCUUGAGGAGAUCCUUGGAAAGGGAUUUGACACGACUGACACAGUGCCACUUUUGCAUUUCUCACCAAAUUGCUAAUCAUCGCCCACUUUUAUCUCAAGGUAAUCUUAAACUAAGGAUCUAUCUGUCUUUUGCUGUAUUUGAUUAAUUAUGUUGUGUAUUAAAUUUAUUACUAGUAGUAUUAUCUAUGUAUUCACAUAGUACAUAUUUAGGUGACU